rnacentral:rRNA from 1 species
AUGGAUGAUUUUUUUACGGCAAGUAGCAGUGCAAGUCUAAGCGCAACAUCUCCGAUUGUGCUUGAAUCAUCGUCGGAGCAGCCUCCCAAUGCUACUAAUACAAGUGCAGCAGCUGCAAGUUCGGAUACGGCCAAUGGAACUGAAGAUGUAGCCCCUGGUGUGAAGAGAUGUAAGAAGCUCACCUCUGAUGUUUGGGAACAUUUCACCAAGUAUGAGAUAAUGACGACGGAUAAGGAUGGUAACAAGGUUGUAGAGAAAUGGGCUAGAUGCAAUAGCAAAGGGUGCACUUACAAGGGCCCUCGUACUAAUGCUCGAGGCAAUCGAGGCACAACAGUUUUCAAGUCUCAUUUGCAGAACAAGCAUCAGAUCAUUACUGGACAGCAAAAACUUGUACUGAAUAAAGUUGAAGGCAAUGAGUCCAUGGUAGCACCUGCGACCUUUAGAUGUUUCAAUCACAUCUUAAACCUGGUCGCUCAAGAUGGUUUGAAGACAAUUGCAGCAUCUAUUGCAAAUAUUAGAAAUACAAUAUCAAUUGUGAGGAAUUCUCCACAGCAGAAGGAAGAGUUUGAGAAGUGUGCUUCAGAAUGUGACUUGAAUCCAAAAUCUGAACUGAUCUUGGAUGUUCCUACCCGGUGGAAUUCCACGUAUGAUAUGCUGCAGAAGGCACUUUACUUUAGAGAUGCUUUUGAUAGGCUUUUUCUUCGGCAUAAAAAGAAGUAUAAGAAGUGUGCUCCAACUUCAAAGAAUUGGAUUAUGGCAUUGAAGAUAUGUGAUCACCUGAAGAUUUUCAACGAUGCUACUGUGCUGUUCUCUGGAACUACAUAUCCAACUGCAAAUAAGUUUUUUAUCACCUUUUGCAACAAAGUCAAUCAAGUUGAGUUUCCUAUUCUGUCACGACUUGCUCGAGAUAUCUUAUCUAUGCAAGUGUCAACGGUUGCCUCGGAGUCGGCAUUCAGUGCUGGUGGGCGGGUUGUUGACCCAUUUCGUGGUCGUCUUGAACCUGAAACUGUCGAAGCUUUAAUUUGUACUAAAAAUUGGAUUGGAGCAUCAAAAGGUAGUGACAUUGCAUCUGUUGUCAAAGACAUGGACAUGCCAAGCUUGGAGGAACGUUUUACAACUUUGGUGCACAUGUUGGACGAGCCACUAGAGGAUGAUAGUGAUGAUGACCUGGAGGACUUCAUGGAUGAGGAAAUGGAGGAUUGA